CGGGGUGUAGCGCAGUUGGCAGCGCGCAGCGUUUGGGACGCUGAGGCCGGCGGUUCAAGUCCGCCCACCCCGACCA
rnacentral:tRNA from 1 species